rnacentral:lncRNA from 1 species
CUCUCCUCACUCCUAAACUGGGGCUCUGGGGAGCAGUAUACCGUUGAAUCACUUUCCCCAUUCUGCCAACGUCUGUCUUCUGAUUGGAGCGUUUAAAUCGUUAUUGUUGGAGGCCUCGCGCUCACGGGGUUACCUGUCCUUACAGGCUUCGUUCCGAAGACUUAACCCCUGAAAGCACUAACGUGUCUCCGACCGAUGCCGGAGCCUGUCACUUACAGUCCUUGCCGCUUUCCCCGCAGCUGUCUACAGUAUUUGAAUUACUGUCUUCUUCUUCGCAUUUCUGGUUACUAGUCAACAACUGUUUAAUUUCUAUCCAAGGAUGAUUAAAUCGACGUACACUGAAACAAGAAAUGUGCACUCACAAUACUAAAGGAUGACCUGGUCCGUGAUACUUUGGUCGCUUCCUCUGCUUAUUGGUUCGACAAGCCUCCUAGGUCUGGUACGCUGCUCGCUCACACCUACUACUCAACCCUCGACGAUUUAGGUGUGGUUGUUCCUCUCUGGGCAGGAGCAGUAAUUGCCCGUUUUUGCCAUAAAUCUAAAGCGUGUGGAUGGUGGGAGAGAGAAACUGCCUUUUCCUCUGUGGGGCCAACCAUCUGGAGACAUUGGGACGAGACUUGUCUGCACAAAGAGAGAAUGACAUCAAACUACACCAAACAUUUGGAAAUUUCGGGGCGAGAGACUUGAGGACGUGAUUCGAAUCCUGAGGUCGCCUCCCCCUGAUGCGGGGCAGGUGCUGGGAACACAGCAUGCAACCGGCAAGAGGCCAUCUCUGCCCUCAGGAGGUCUUGGAGGAGCCUGGUGGGAGACACAGCUACAUAACCAGGAGACGGCAACUCCGGGUGAUGAGGACUUCAGGGGAAGCUGGAAGUUGGAGAGGCAGCUACCUCAUCAGGGGUGUGGGAGGCAGGGUGAGCUUCCUGGAGGAGGUGACUUGUGAUCUGCAACCUGUUGACUGAGGCAGAUAACCCGCUGUGAGCCCUACCCAAGGACCUGGGCGGCAUUUCAGGGCUCCUCCUGCAACUUGUCCACGACGAAUUCACCUGCUUCAAAGGCGAGGAUCACCGUGUGAGGAGGGUGCUCAUCUGGUCAUCAUCACUGCCAAGCAGAGCAGAAAUUCCCGAGUUCAGCGGAAGAUGUUGUGUCCUGGACCAGCCUUUGGAAACAGUACCCAAAGGGCAUCUAUCAGUGGAGAGGUGGCUCAGCCCCACCUUCAUCAGCUGGCCUCAUGCUGAAUCUUAUUGCCAGGAUUGUGUCUACAUGAGGAAGGCUGGCUCCCGGUCCUCUGAUGCGUGCUGUGUAUAUCGGUGCUGUAGUUGGAUCUGCGAGAAGCCACGGGUCUGCUGAGCCUGCUCCCUUUCCUCUGUCUCCAGGCUCAGGAGAGAUUGUCUUGAUGUGUGACCCCAUAACAAUGCCCUGACUUCUCUGCAGAAAGGACGUCUCCUGCAGGCCCCAGUCCUCGUGGGAGCAUCUUCCUCCUCUCUUGCCUCUGCUUCUCAGUUCUGCAGAGGAACAUGUAAAGUGACACCACGAUGAAACAAUGUGCAAAAUAUAUCAUAUAGGACUUUCUAAGACCAG